rnacentral:lncRNA from 13 species
AAUAACUAUUUAACGUUGAAAAUUAAGUUUAGUUAAGUUAAUAAUUUUUUAACUGUAUUAUUAACUUUGUAACUAGUUAUUGUUCGACCCUGAAUACAGAGUCUAUAAAUUAUAAGAAAAUAACAUAUUCCAAGACAUUUUAUAAUUCUUAAUUUCAACUUCAGCUGUAUCUUUUAUGUAUAAUAUAAGAAACUGCCGCUUUUAAUUGUUAAAGCAAAUUACUCAGGAUUGAAUCCUCGAUAUAACAUACAUCAAGAUUAAGGCUAUUCAAACUGAAGGUUUACUAAUAUUUUUUCUCUGAUAUCAUAUAUAAUUUAUUAAAUUUUUAUUGAAUUUUUGCGAGAUUUUAUACCUAUUGAGAUUUCAAUCGAUUAAAAAAAUAUAAUUUAAACCUCGAGUAUGUACGUCUUCGAAGACGAAUGUUUUUAGAGAUGCAACGACAACGAGUGCGAAGAUAUUCAAUUUCACAUUAUCAAUCUUCGUUCUUAUCAAUGUUUGUUGUCGCCGCAGAUUCGUUUAAUAUUGUAAAGUCUCAGCAAUACUCUCUAGAUAACAGAGAGAGAGAGAGAGAGAGAGAGAGCCGUCUGAACCGGCGCGGUACGGAGAUAAGCUGAACCGGCGGCGCGAGUUGGAACUCACGGGGAUGCUUCCGGAUUUGUCCCAGAACUGAUCGAUCAUUCCUGCGCGAAAAUGCGACAGAGACGGUCGCCACUUUCUUCGUGUCGCGUGUUUUAGUCUCCGUCUGGACUGAUGCAAGAGUUUCCGUUCGGGCGGGACGUUAAUCUGCGCGAUGACGACGUAUCUUGCGAUACGUACACAUAUUUCGAUGAACAGAUAUCGAUCGCCCGAACUCUAAUGAUCACCGUCGUCGCAAUGCAGACGGCGCGGCGCGGCGGCCGCAUUGUACAUGUAAAUAAUCGCAAUUUGUAUAGAGCAGAUAAUAAUAACAAUAAUAAUAAUGACGAAUAAUGAGCAAAAGAAUAACAAUAUUAAUCAUUAAUGCCGAUAGCGUAGUAGGAAUUUUCUUCUCUUCGGAUGUAUUCAAGCGUAAAUAAAAAAAAGAAACUUAGGUAGGAAAAUGGCGGCAUCGUUCGUGGCACAUUGCCUUUUUUUCUCUGUCAUCUUUAUUAUACUUGCCGUCUUGCGGAGGAAGAGAUAAAAAAAAAUGUUUGCUUGUAACAAAUCAGGCGCGAGUAAACUGAGACAUAAUAAUUAGCGUUGAAAUCAUACGAAAUGAUAAUAGAAUCGCGAAAAUAAUAGAAUUCACGUCGCGUUUUAUACAAGAGAUGAGCAACCGUAGCGCGUCCGAUUACUCGCGAGGAUCGAUUUACGAUAGACAUCAGGUGUAAAUUUCUUUGACGAAGUACUACACUUGCUGUGAAGAAAGGGAGAGAGAAAUGCAGAAUAAGACAAAUUAGAAACGAAUCGACUGCACUGUUGAAGCUGCACAGGAACAAGAGGAAAAUGGACGUUAACAUCGAUUAAGGAAGGCUACUACAACGUGCAUUACUUGUGCCGGCAACGAGCAAGAUCCAAUUUCUUUCAGGUGCUCCACGACACGAUAGAGUGAUAAGUAAACAAUUGUAAUGUGUAGUGUAAUAAUAAUGGACAGAGGUAUCGAGAGCACACAAGCAAGUCAAGUUUGAGAGACAGAAUGGAAAGUAGAUGAAGAGAGCGAGGGA